CACAAAAUACAGUCAGAGCUAUCAAGCUGCCACCCUACUCUGCUCUCUGCUUAGUGAAAAAUAAAUACCAUGUGAAAUAAUGCAGGCGGUGGUCACACAGCAGUAACGUACCUCCUCAUGGGGCACCUCUUCGUUCUUGUUCAUAUCCAGGGCUUUGAAGAGGUCUGCAGGACUGUCCUGGAGCCACACAAACAGGUAACCAGGCGGCACUCCCUUCUCAAAGCUCACCAGUUCAACGUCAAAGACCAACACAGCACUGCCUGGCACACCGGUGGCUGAUGGAGCAAAAUCUUACAAGGUAAAGCAGAAGUCUCACCUCCUUUCUCUCCGUGGCCGAGGUGAGGCGGCACCGUUAUCACCCUCUUCUCCCCUACGCACAUGCCACGCAAGCCCUCGUCCAGCCCAUCAAUCACCUUGUCAGCCCCCAGCACUGCAUCCUGAAGGUUCUCAUUGUCGUUUCUGGAUUAUUGGACACAUUGCAGUGGGGAUGUAAUGUAUGUUUAUGUAUAUUGCACAAUAUCAGUGUUUAAAAUAUGGGAUGUCUGGGUGACUCACGAGGAGAAGAGCGGCGUGCCGUCCAUCAGCGUGCAGUUGUAGUGGUAGCGUACAAGGUCGUUCACACCGGUGGUCUCGUUACACACCUCGGGUCUGUAAGUGAUCUGGACCUCCACUGUGUCAUUGGGGUUGUGGAAGUCGAUGACAUGAAUGUCAAACACCAGCACAGCAGAAGGAGGGAUGACGUCACCUGGACAGAAAACGCAUAAUCAUUUCAUUUUCACAAUGUUGGGAAGUUUUCUGCUCAUAUUCAGAUGUAUCUGGACUCCCAGUUCAGUAGAGGGCCUACAGUGAGAUCUGUUCUUGGCCUUUUUCAUUCAGUCUUUUUAUUCAGUGACCAUGAAAGUAUGUGGCUUGCUAUGAUUAGGUUACCUGAUUUCUUAGUCUGUUAAAUAAAAAUUUUUAAUUUCCCAGAACUCCAAGUGA